rnacentral:rRNA from 1 species
UACGUAGGGUGCAAGCGUUAAUCGGAAUUACUGGGCGUAAAGGGUGCGUAGGUGGUUGUUUAAGUCUGCUGUGAAAGCCCCGGGCUCAACCUGGGAAUGGCAGUGGAUACUGGACAGCUAGAGUGCGGUAGAGGGUAGUGGAAUUCCCGGUGUAGCAGUGAAAUGCGUAGAGAUCGGGAGGAACACCAGUGGCGAAGGCGGCUACCUGGACCAGCACUGACACUGAAGCACGAAAGCGUGGGGAGCAAACAGG